rnacentral:tRNA from 1 species
GUCAGGGUAGCUCAGCUG